rnacentral:tRNA from 1 species
UCCCUGGUAGUCCAGUGGUUAAGACUUCACCCUCCCAAAGCGGGGAGCACAGGUUUGAUCCCUGGUCAGGGAA